GUGUGUGUGUGUGUGUGUGUGUGUGUGUGUGUGUGUGUGUGUGUGUGUGUGUGUUUCAGUGAGAGAAAGAGAGACAGAGUGACAGUGUGACAGGUUAGUGGCGUUUGAACUUGGCCACUCGAGCUGGAACAUUGUGUUUUUUUUUCUGUGUGUGUGUUUCUGUGUAUGUUUGCGUGUGUGUGUGUGUGUGUGUGUGUGUGUGUGUGUGUGUGUGUGUGUGUGUGUGUGUGUGUGUGUGUGUGUGUGUGUGUGUGUGUGUUUGAAGUGAGACAAAGAGAGACAGAGUGACAGUGUGACAGGAGAGUCGCCAUGACGAUGAUGAUGGUGAUGAUGAUGAGGCCGCAGGGCCCACAUGUGUUCACAGCGUUUACCCCGCUCUCGCUCCGGCCAAUCGCGUGAUGACGCGCCCCCCGACCCGCACACGCACGGGGAGAGCCGUCCAACAGUGAAGCGGUGGAACCACAGCGGUGGAUCAACGUGUGGAGAGCCAGACUGAAGCUCCCCUCAGAAGGGCAGCUGGUCAGAACAGAUGAUAUGUCAAGGGUCAAAGGUCCCUUACACACCCGGGGGUCAAUAAACCUACGACGGGCCGAGUGAACUUGCCCGUGGGCGUGCCCGUGGGCGUGCCCGUGAGCGUGCCCGUUGCCGGGGUGCGUCGGAGCGUGAGUCACGGCAGGCGUUGUGCUCGCGGCUCAUUCCGCCUUCCUGGGUAAUCCCAGAGACGACUCACACUCUGCAGCGCUAGCACUGGAACCGGUCUGCACUGGAUCACACCAGCUCAUCCACUCCCACCGCCUCUCUGUCUCUCUUUCCCACACCCUUUGUCUCUCUCUCUCUCUCUCUCUCUCUCUCUCUCUCUCUCUCUCUCUCUCUCUCUCUCUCUCUCUCUCUCUCUCUCUCUCUCUCUCUCUCACUUCCCUCUUUACCUCUCCCUCCCUAUCUGUAUUUAUCUCACCCUCUCUCUUUCUUCCUCUUUCAUCCCUUUGUAGUUCAGUAUCUCUAUAUCAUAUACGCUAUGCACUCUGUAACUCAUAGGCCUACUCUAUAUGCUCUGCAUCUUUAUCUCUUUAUCAUUAUAUGUUGUGCUUUAUAUACUCCACAUUGUAGAAUGUUGGUGUAUUUUAGUGUUCUCUCUGUGUUCACAUUUCUAGUCUAGGAACAGGCCAGUGCCUCUCACACUGAUACAAGGUGUUAUUUCCGACAUCUGCCAGUUGUUAUGUCUCAACAAGGAUGAACCGACCUGGUCCUCUGGGACAUAGCCAGGGCCAGAUACCUUAUCAAGGCUGAGAGUGCUUCUGUUUACGUGUUAUUCAUGUUUUCUCUUCUUCUAUGAUACUCGCCCCAACCCUUUGGUUCGGUGAGAAGAGGGUUCGACAGCCAAGGAACACGUCUCAAAACUGCUCCUCAACCGCGUCCACUAUAGAUUAUUCAACCUAAGUCUGUAUCUCACUGUAUUACAUCCUGGAAUAAACCAUCUAUGCAACCCUCUGAUCCAACCUGUCAAGUUGCUUUGAUCUCUCCCUCUGCCCUCUCAAUUAAUUUAUAUUCAAAAGAGC
ensembl:lncRNA